UACUCUACGAAUAAGGACCGGCUAACUCCGUGCCAGCAGCCGCGGUAAUACGGAGGGUCCAAGCGUUAUCCGGAGUCAUUGGGUUUAAAGGGUCCGUAGGCGGGCAAUUAAGUCAGAGGUGAAAUCCCACAGCUCAACUGUGGAACUGCCUUUGAUACUGGUUGUCUUGAAUUAUAGUGAAGUAGAUAGAAUGUGUAGUGUAGCGGUGAAAUGCAUAGAUAUUACACAGAAUACCGAUUGCGAAGGCAGUCUACUAACUAUAUAUUGACGCUGAUGGACGAAAGCGUGGGGAGCGAACAGGAUUAGAUACCCUGGUAGUCCACGCCGUAAACGAUGGAUACUAGUUGUUGGUCUGCUUGCAGAUCAGUGACCAAGCGAAAGUGAUAAGUAUCCCACCCGGGGAGUACGGUUGCAAGAUUGAAACUCAAAGGAAUUGACGGGGGCCCGCACAAGCGGUGGAGCAUGUGGUUUAAUUCGAUGAUACGCGAGGAACCUUACCAGGGCUUAAAUGUAAGUUGCAUAGAGUAGAGAUAUUCUUUUCUUCGGACUACUUACAAGGUGCUGCAUGGUUGUCGUCAGCUCGUGCCGUGAGGUGUCAGGUUAAGUCCUAUAACGAGCGCAACCCCUACCGUUAGUUGCCAGCAUGUAAAGAUGGGGACUCUAGCGGGACUGCCAGUGCAAACUGUGAGGAAGGUGGGGAUGACGUCAAAUCAUCACGGCCCUUACGUCCUGGGCUACACACGUGCUACAAUGGGUAGGACAAUGAGACGCGAUACCGCGAGGUGGAGCAAAUCUAUAAACCUACUCUCAGUUCGGAUUGUAGUCUGCAACUCGACUACAUGAAGCUGGAAUCACUAGUAAUCGUAGAUCAGCUAUGCUACGGUGAAUACGUUCCCGGGUCUUGCACACACCGCCCGUC
rnacentral:rRNA from 1 species